ensembl:lncRNA
GUAUUUUUGGUGUUUGUAGUAUUCGUUCAUAUUUUGUGUUCUAGUAAGUAUAUGGGUUAAUUGGGUUGUGGAGUUCCGAUUCCAAUUAUUUUGGUUGUUAUAUUCUUUGUCUUUGUUUAAAGCUUUAGCUUGUUAAGGAAGGUAUUUUGUAUUUUCUUUUUCUUUUCUUUUGAUGAGGUUAGAAAGAGGGACGGUUGAGAUUGGUGCUUUGUUUAUUGUUUUGGCCUUGUCGGAACCUGAAGUUUUCCCAAUUUAAUUUCUUUCAAUUAUCUUUAUUGUAAUAAAUUCCCACAAACUUAGCCUGUCUAAGAAUCUUUUCUUUUGUGGCCUGGCCUAAGAUGUUAGGUGUAGAUGUUUCACAAGUAGCUGAUUUUCUGUCGAGCUGGACUAUCUUUUAGAACCGUGUUUUUUUUUGUUUGUUUGUUUUUUUUGUCCCAAGGCACAUUUUUGUAAAUUUUCAAGGCACACCAUUUCAUCCCCCUCAAAAUUCAAUGAUGCGUACAUUAUGAAAUAAAUUGCAUUAAACCCAGGUAGCUAGAUUAGGUAGCUAAUAAUACCUUUCGCCUUAGAAAAUAGAAUCCCUUCCCUUUAAAGAUGAGUCUUUUUGAAGCCACCAACUGGAUUUUCUUUUUGUUUUCUCUCUAAUCUUAUUUUAUGUAUUUUAGCAAUUACUAUUCCAAGGUAACUCUCUCUUUAUAUGGGAUAUGACAUAUAUUGGAGAUAGAAUAUUAAUUAAUUUGGUAUAAAUUCUUAUUUCAGAAUGAAUUUCUGUUUACUGUUUUUAUUAAACAAUUGAAGUGACCCACACAGAACGUGAUUUUAGGCAGAGGGACCACCAACAACCCACCCAACAUCAUGAUUAUAUCCUUUGAUGAAGGAUGCCUUUGCCUAGGUUUUGAUUUUGAGGAUUACACUACUACAUGUCACAUCACUUUAAACCCUAGGUGGUGCUUUUGAGAUGUCUUUGUUAUAGGAAGCAGAUAGAGGGUGGCAGCAUUGAGCAGUCUUUCAGGACUGUAGUGAAGACCAUUCUAAAAACUUUCUUUCCUAGCAACAGAUGAUAUUACAGUGGAAGCUGAAAUUAACUGAAAUGAUUGGUUCUCUAUAGGGAUUUUUAGGAGAUUUCUCAGACCUGUUCUGACUAAAAUAUAAAGUGUUUGAUUAUGUGCUAUACUAUUUUUCCUAUUAAAAAAAGAAACAGAUUGUUUACAGUAUGAAAUAGAUACUGAUAAAUCCAAAACUUGCAUUACUAAGGUGUUAUUUUACAGUGUUCAGCACGUUGCUUUGGCAUAUUUGCUUUCUCAUGAAACAAAAGUCGUCACUUUUUCACAUCCUUCAGUGUCCUAGUGAAAGAUCCUGUUUUGUAACUGUAGAAAUAAACUGAAGAUGUCAGUGGGCA